rnacentral:rRNA from 1 species
GAUGAACGCUAGCGGCAGGCUUAAUACAUGCAAGUCGAGGGGCAGCAUGAAUGUAGCAAUACAUUUGAUGGCGACCGGCAAACGGGUGCGGAACACGUACACAACCUUCCUAUAAGUGGGGAAUAGCCCAGAGAAAUUUGGAUUAAUACCCCGUAACAUAAUGAUGUGGCAUCACAUUAUUAUUAUAGCUACGGCGCUUAUUGAUGGGUGUGCGGCUGAUUAGAUAGUUGGCGGGGUAACGGCCCACCAAGUCUACGAUCAGUAGCUGAUGUGAGAGCAUGAUCAGCCACACCGGCACUGAGACACGGGCCCGACUCCUACGGGAGGCAGCAGUAAGGAAUAUUGGUCAAUGGACGCAAGUCUGAACCAGCCAUGCCGCGUGAAGGAUUAAGGUCCUCUGGAUUGUAAACUUCUUUUAUCUGGGACGAAAAAAGGCUAUUCUUAGUCACUUGACGGUACCAGAUGAAUAAGCACCGGCUAACUCCGUGCCAGCCGCCGCGUAAAAC